rnacentral:rRNA from 1 species
UACGGAGGGUGCAAGCGUUAUCCGGAUUCACUGGGCUUAAAGGGUGCGUAGGCGGUCUUCUAAGUCAGUUGUGAAAUACUUCAGCUUAACUGGAGAGGUGCAAUUGAUACUGGAAGACUUGAGUACUGAUGAGGUAGGCGGAAUGGACGGUGUAGCGGUGAAAUGCUUAGAUAUCGUCCAGAACACCGAUAGCGAAGGCAGCUUACUAAGGAGUAACUGACGCUGAGGCACGAAAGUGUGGGGAUCAAACAGG